rnacentral:rRNA from 1 species
CAGCAGCCGCGGGAAUACAGAGGGUGCGAGCGUUAAUCGGAUUUACUGGGCGUAAAGCGUGCGUAGGCGGCUUCUUAAGUCGGAUGUGAAAUCCCUGAGCUUAACUUAGGAAUUGCAUUCGAUACUGGGAAGCUAGAGUAUGGGAGAGGAUGGUAGAAUUCCAGGUGUAGCGGUGAAAUGCGUAGAGAUCUGGAGGAAUACCGAUGGCGAAGGCAGCCAUCUGGCCUAAUACUGACGCUCAUGCACGAAAGCGUGGGGAGCAAACAGGAUUAGAUACCCCUGUAGUCCCUGUCUCUUAUAC